UGGCUGAUGACGAUAAAUAAUCUUAGUGGAUUUCUCUGAGACUAUUGAUGUUGUAAUUGUUACACACACUGAAGCUA